rnacentral:rRNA from 1 species
AUUGAACGCUGGCGGCAGGCCUAACACAUGCAAGUCGAGCGAGCGGCGGACGGGUGAGUAAUGUCUGGGAAACUGCCUGAUGGAGGGGGCUAACUACUGGACACGGUAGCUAAUACCGCAUACCAUCAGAUGUGCCCAGAUGGGAUUAUGUAGUAGGUGGGGUAACGGCGCACCUAGGCGACGAUCCCUAGCUGGUCUGAGAGGAUGACAAGCCACACUGGAACUGAGACACGGCCCAGACUCCGACGGGAGGCAGCAGUGGGGAAUAUUGGGCAAUGGGCGCAAGCCUGAUGCAGCCAUGCCGCGUGUAUGAAGAAGGUCUUCGGGUUGUAAAGUACUUUCAGCGGGGAGGCGUUACCCGCAGAAGAAGCACCGGCUAACUACGUGCCAGCAGCCGCGGUAAUAC